UACGUAGGGUGCGAGCGUUGUCCGGAAUUAUUGGGCGUAAAGAGCUUGUAGGCGGUUUGUCGCGUCUGCCGUGAAAUUUCGAGGCUCAACCUCGAACUUGCGGUGGGUACGGGCAGACUAGAGUGUGGUAGGGGAGACUGGAAUUCCUGGUGUAGCGGUGAAAUGCGCAGAUAUCAGGAGGAACACCGAUGGCGAAGGCAGGUCUCUGGGCCACUACUGACGCUGAGACGCGAAAGCGUGGGGAGCAAACAGG
rnacentral:rRNA from 1 species